rnacentral:rRNA from 1 species
AACGAACGCUGGCGGCAGGCUUAACACAUGCAAGUCGAGCGCCCCGCCAGGGGAGCGGCCGACGGGUGAGUAACGCGUGGGAACGUACCUUUUGGUUCGGAACAACUCCGGGAAACUGGAGCUAAUACCGGAUAAGCCCUAACGGGGAAAGAUUUAUCGCCGAAAGAUCGGCCCGCGUCUGAUUAGCUAGUUGGUGAGGUAACGGCUCACCAAGGCGACGAUCAGUAGCUGGUCUGAGAGGAUGAUCAGCCACACUGGGACUGAGACACGGCCCAGACUCCUACGGGAGGCAGCAGUGAGGAAUAUUGGACAAUGGGCGCAAGCCUGAUCCAGCCAUGCCGCGUGAGUGAUGAAGGCCUUAGGGUUGUAAAGCUCUUUUGUCCGGGAAGAUAAUGACUGUACCGGAAGAAUAAGCCCCGGCUAACUUCGUG